rnacentral:rRNA from 1 species
AGAAUGAACGCUGGCGGCGGUUGCCUUACACAUGCAAGUCGAACGAGAACUCUUUGAGCUUGCUCGAAGAAAGUAAAGUGGCGCCCGGGUGAGUAACGCGUGGGUAAUCUGUCUUCAAAUUCGGGAUAACCGCCGAAAGGCGUGCUAAUACCGGAUAAUAUCAUGUACGCUGAGGUGUAUGUGAUCAAAGGUAGCCUCUACAAGUAAGCGACUGUUUGGAGAUGAGCCUGCGUACCAUUAGUUAGUUGGCGGGGUAACAGCCCACCAAGGCGACGAUGGUUAGCUGGUCUGAGAGGAUGAUCAGCCACACUGGAACUGACACACGGUCCAGACUCCUACGGGAGGCAGCAGUGAGGAAUUUUGCGCAAUGGGCGGAAGCCUUGACGCAGAAACGCCGCGUGAGUGAAGAAGGCCUUCGGGUCGUAAAGCUCUGUCAAAUGGGAAGAACCUGUGCAUGGUAAAACAAGUGUGCACACUGACGGUACCAUUGAAGGAAGCACCGGCUAACUCCGUGCCA